UACGUAGGCAGCGAGCGUUGUUCGGAGUUACUGGGCGUAAAGGGUGUGUAGGCGGUUGCUUAAGUUUGGUGUGAAAUCUCCCGGCUCAACUGGGAGGGUGCGCCGAAUACUGAGUGACUCGAGUGCGGGAGAGGAGAGUGGAAUUCCUGGUGUAGCGGUGAAAUGCGUAGAUAUCAGGAGGAACACCGGUGGUGUAGACGGCUCUCUGGACCGUAACUGACGCUGAGACACGAAAGCGUGGGUAGCAAACAGG
rnacentral:rRNA from 1 species